GAAGAGAUUUGGGAGUGCUCGAAAGAGAACCAUCACACAGGUGCUGCAUGGCUGUCGUCAGCUCGGGUCGUGAGAUGUUGGGUUAAGUCCCGCAACGAGCGCAACCCUUGUCAUUAGUUGCUACGAAAGGGCACUCUAAUGAGACUGCCGGUGACAAACCGGAGGAAGGUGGGGAUGACGUCAAGUCCUCAUGGCCCUUAUGGGUAGGGCUUCACACGUCAUACAAUGGUACAUACAGAGGGCCGCCAACCCGCGAGGGGGAGCUAAUCCCAGAAAGUGUAUCGUAGUCCGGAUUGGAGUCUGCAACUCGACUCCAUGAAGUUGGAAUCGCUAGUAAUCGCGGAUCAGCAUGUCGCGGUGAAUACGUUCCCGGGUCUUGUACACACCG
rnacentral:rRNA from 2 species